UACGUAGGGUGCGAGCGUUGUCCGGAAUUAUUGGGCGUAAAGGGCUCGUAGGCGGUUUGUCGCGUCGGGAGUGAAAACCCAGGGCUUAACUCUGGGCUUGCUUUCGAUACGGGCAGACUAGAGGUAUGCAGGGGAGAACGGAAUUCCUGGUGUAGCGGUGAAAUGCGCAGAUAUCAGGAGGAACACCGGUGGCGAAGGCGGUUCUCUGGGCAUUACCUGACGCUGAGGAGCGAAAGUGUGGGGAGCGAUCCGG
rnacentral:rRNA from 1 species